rnacentral:rRNA from 1 species
GACGAACGCUGGCGGCGUGCUUAACACAUGCAAGUCGAGCGGUAAGGCCCUUUCGGGGGUACACGAGCGGCGAACGGGUGAGUAACACGUGGGUGACCUGCCCUCAGCUCUGGGAUAAGCCUGGGAAACCGGGCCUAAUACCGGAUAUGACUCCAUGACGCAUGUUGUGGGGUGGAAAGCCUUGUGCGGCUGAGGAUGGGCCCGCGGCCUAUCAGCUUGUUGGUGGGGUGAUGGCCUACCAAGGCGACGACGGGUAGCCGGCCUGAGAGGGCGACCGGCCACACUGGGACUGAGACACGGCCCAGACUCCUACGGGAGGCAGCAGUGGGGAAUCUUGCGCAAUGGGCGAAAGCCUGACGCAGCGACGCCGCGUGAGGGAUGACGGCCU